rnacentral:tRNA from 1 species
ACGGGAGUAGCUCAGUUGGUAGAGCACCGGUCUCCAAAACCGGGUGUCGGGAGUUCGAGCCGCUACUCCCGUG